CACUCUUUGCCCUGCAGUACCUCGAAGCUUUGUCACACUUCUGAUAAAAAUAAAUCAUGAAUAGAUAAAUGAAUAAGUAGGUAAAUGGAUAUAUGAAGUGUUUUCCAAGAAAAUAUUGUCUUUUUCUUCUCCAGGUCAUUGCAGCCAGAACCUCAGAGGCAACAGGACAGGAUAAACUCAAAACUUCAUCGUCACAUCAUUCGCUACAGAAAUGGCUGAAGAGGCAACUACAGUCCAGGAUAUGAUAAUAGUUGGUAUCGCAACAUUUCUUGGUGGAAUAUUACUAGGGCCCGCUGGUCUUGCUGUUGGUGGUGCAGUUGGGGGACUUGCCGCUUUUGUAACGUCUAGAAAUAGAAGAUGAUUACUGUGCAACAAGAUGAAGGAUGUUGGUAUAUCAGCUUCUCCACAGCUCUUGAGCUACAUUAAACCACAUAAACAUCUCUACAGAAAUAUUGUAAAGUGCUUGAAAUAAUUUUUAACAGAUGAACUUCAAAUGACUUUAAACAAUUAAUGUAUGAUUACUUACAAAAUCUAUUGGUAUAUUAAAAUAACAUUUCGGGAAAUAAUUUUUAUAAUUUUGAACUUAUACAAAGGUUUAAUUAUUCUAAAUAUGAUCCCUGAAAGGCUAUUCCUUUCAAGGUCAUUUAUGCCUCUUCAAUAAAAAUUUUAAGAUUUUGAUGCCAAGAAUUCCUUAAA